rnacentral:lncRNA from 1 species
GAAAACCAACCCUGCAAAAGUAGGGUUUUUUAGAUUUAAUUACGAAAAUUUUAAUUAAGGAUUUAUUUAAAUUGGAGUUGUACUUUAGAAGGCGAUUUGUUGCUUCGAAAAGUGCAAAUAAAUGAUGCUCUGCUGCAACUCUUCAUGUCAAUUAUUAUUAUUAUUAUCUUAAUUACAUUCAUGUCAAUUAUGUUGGAUUUAUAUGAGUAAGUCUAAUGAGAGUGGAUCAAAAAGAGAGCACGCGUUUAUUUUCCCUUCCUACUACUUGUUGCAACUUACAUUCAUGUCCUUCAUGCUUUUUUUUUUCUUUUCUUUUUGCAAAUUAAGAAAAAGAAAGGGGAAAAGUACGUUUGUGUGAAAAUAAAAUCUAGAGCAGAUGAAAAAUAAGCUAUCUUUAAAACCUAGCCUCCGGUCUCUCUCUCUCUCUCUUAAACCUCUUUUGUUGUGUUCUGGAGAGGAGGCCACUCCUCCUCCUCUCUCCCUCUCUCUCUUUUUAUUACCUCCCCAUUUAUUUCCCCUUCCUCAUCUACUAGAUUUGGGGUUUUAAUAGUGGAGGAGGUUAUUUGUGUCUAGAUCUGCUUGGAUUUGUAGUUUUGUUGGUUGGUGUUUUAGUUGUAAGGUGACUGGUAUCGGUGGUGUUCUUUGUCUCCAAGGCAACGAUGACGUCUAUGGUGGCAGUGGCAACAACGGCGGUAAGGGCUUUGUUGGUUUUUGGUUGUUUGUUUGUAGUUUUCUUAUUUUGUAAUAAUUGCAUCAACUUCUUGUGAGUUUGGUGUUUGAUUAUUUUCUAGUCUUUACUUGUAUUUUGUACUUGUGCGAGUAAAAAGUUGUAGUUGUAUUCGUAGAUUUGGGCUCUGUGAUUCAUGUUUAGUUUGUUCAAGCAUGAUCUUUGUGCCUAAUUUAUGAAUACAAUUAUUGUUUUUCUCUUAAAAAUCUAGAGUAGAUGUGCUUCCCACUCUGUAUCCAAAUUCGAAUCCACAUUCUCGUAGUUUAAAUUAAUUUAAAAUAAAAUAUCACUAAUAUAUAUAUAUAUAAAUCUCAAGUAUAUAGACUUGAAAAUCAAGAAUAAUGUGGUAAACCAAAAACAACAUCUUUUUAGGCAUAAACACAAUAAAACCCAAAAACCAAGAGUAGAAGAUCCUGUUUCUGUUAUCCUCGGUUUUUGAGUAUGAGAUAAAUUACAGAGCUUCCAGAGUUUCAUUAGAUCCCACUUUUAAAGAGAAGAAGACAAUAAAUUUUUUUUUUUUUUUUUUGGCGAAAGGACAAUAAUUAUUAAUUAGUUGUUUGUUAUUGGCAUUGGCAUAAACGUUGGUUCCACCACUUUGGCAAUGCGACCACAACACCCAGACAGACAAGACACACUCAGACAAAUCACUUUUCGACGCAGCCUUUAACCGACGUAAACGCACGAGCACGAGCUCAGAAGCAAUAAAUAAUUAUGAGUAAUUAAAUGAUAAAAGUUUUCUUUGUUAACAAAGAGAAACACCUUUUGUUAUGUUUUAUAUGUCCGAAUUCCCCUAUUUUCGUGGAUAAAAAAUAAUAUAAGAGCAUCUUCAACGGAUAUGUUAAAUAUUAAUUAUUAAAUUUAAAUUUGAUGAUUGAUAUGGUAAUUUGACAUUUACGCAGUUUUACACUCUACAAGAUAUAUCAAAUUAAAUUUAUUAUUUUAUUACAUUUCAGUGUUGAUUUAAAUUGAAAAGAGAAAGAAGGAAACAAAUUUGUAACAGUCAAAUCAUUCAAGAUAAAAAAGAAAAAAAGAAAAAAGAAAAAAAAAUGAAAGUAACGGCCAGUUGUCUUUAAAAAAUAAUAAAAUAUUCUUUUUUUUUCAAAUAAAAUAUUUAUUUGACAUCUUACUUUUGGGAUGUCAAAAGUAACGGCUGAACCUCUAGCCUUCAUUCCACAUUAGCUUUGGCAAUUCGGUUGGAGUGAUAUGAGAUGUUAUUUCUAGCCAUUAAAUAUUUAUGUGGCACUUUUUACAUAUCGGUUGGAGAUGCUCUAAGAGUAUGAAAUUUGAUUGUCCUAAUCUUAACUUUAUA